rnacentral:rRNA from 1 species
CCUACGGGCGGCAGCAGUGGGGAAUAUUGGGCAAUGGGCGCAAGCCUGACCCAGCAACGCCGCGUGAAGGAAGAAGGCUUUCGGGUUGUAAACUUCUUUUCUCAGGGACGAAGAAAGUGACGGUACCUGAGGAAUAAGCCACGGCUAACUACGUGCCAGCAGCCGCGGUAAUACGUAGGUGGCAAGCGUUAUCCGGAUUUAUUGGGUGUAAAGGGCGUGUAGGCGGGAGCGCAAGUCAGAUGUGAAAACUCAGGGCUCAACCCUGAGCCUGCAUUUGAAACUGUGUUUCUUGAGUGCUGGAGAGGCAGACGGAAUUCCUAGUGUAGCGGUGAAAUGCGUAGAUAUUAGGAGGAACACCAGUGGCGAAGGCGGUCUGCUGGACAGCAACUGACGCUGAGGCGCGAAAGCGUGGGGAGCAAACAGGAUUAGAUACCCCAGUAGUC